ACGAACGCUGGCGGCGUGCUUAACACAUGCCAGUCGCACGGAAAGGCCCUGCUUUUGUGGGGUGCUCGAGUGGCGAACGGGUGAGUAACACGUGAGUAACCUGCCCUUGACUUUGGGAUAACUUCAGGAAACUGGGGCUAACACCGGAUAGGAGCUCCUGCUGCAUGGUGGGGGUUGGAAAGUUUCGGCGGUUGGGGAUGGACUCGCGGCUUAUCAGCUUGUUGGUGGGGUAGUGGCUUACCAAGGCUUUGACGGGUAGCCGGCCUGAGAGGGUGACCGGCCACAUUGGGACUGAGAUACGGCCCAGACUCCUACGGGAGGCAGCAGUGGGGAAUAUUGCACAAUGGGCGGAAGCCUGAUGCAGCAACGCCGCGUGCGGGAUGACGGCCUUCGGGUUGUAAACCGCUUUCGCCUGUGACGAAGCGUGAGUGACGGUAAUGGGUAAAGAAGCACCGGCUAACUACGUG
rnacentral:rRNA from 1 species